UAUGUGAUCGUCUCUCGCAUAUCAAUAAGCGGAGGAAAAGAAACUAACAAGGAUUCCCCUAGUAACGGCGAGUGAAGCGGGAAGAGCUCAAAUUUGAAAUCUUAAAGGGUUUCCCUUUACGAAUUGUAGUUUAAAGAAGUGUUUUCUGUUGAGGUUUUGGUAAAAGUUCUUUGGAAUAGGACAUCAUAGAGGGUGAGAAUCCCGUAUUUGACCUUUACUUUCAACUUUGUGAUACACUUUCAAAGAGUCGGAUUGUUUGGGAAUGCAGUCCAAAAUGGGUGGUAAAUUUCAUCUAAAGCUAAAUAUUGGCGAGAGACCGAUAGCGAACAAGUACCGUGAGGGAAAGAUGAAAAGAACUUUGAAAAGAGAGUUAAACAGUACGUGAAAUUGUCAAAAGGGAAGCGUUUGACACCAGUGUUGUUUUUCUGAAAAUCAAUUAAAGAACUGUUUAUGCUAAGCUGUUUAGACUUUAUCAGCUAACUGUUUAGUUCCGAGCUUUUCUUUAAUGCACUUUUCAGUUAACAAGUCAACAUCAAUUUCUUUUGCUGUAAAAAAGCUUGAGGAAGGUGGCUUGAGAUUCGUCUUAAGUGUUUAUAGCCUCUUGCCUAUGCAGUCGGAGAGAUUGAGGUCUGCAGCGUAGAUCCUUCGGGGCUAAAUGCAUUUGUGCUAAGUUAUAGCAUUUUAUAGACAACUUGUUGACUAUGAUUUGUCUUGUAGCUUACUCGCUUAUGUUAUUUUACCUACGCUUAGGAUGUUGAACGCGCACAGAGUCUC
rnacentral:rRNA from 1 species